UCCUCUUAAUUCCUUCAUGAAUUAAAUUUUGAAUUUUUUACUGUUCCCAAAUAUUUUGAAAUGUGCCACAUUAUCAAAGGAUCUAUUACCUGCCUUAACAUCAUGAUUUUGCCCUGCAUUCUGGUGACGAGACAGCAACAUGUAGAUUUCUGUGUGUUUACUUCCAGACAAACCUACUCACUAAUGCAGACUGGAGUUCUGAUGUUUUUGUUUGUGGCAACUGUGUUAUAUCCCAAUAGAUUUACAUCAGCAUAGACCAGCAGCUGAUGUGUUUCAUUUAAUUUCUGUCCCACCUGGUUUUCCUAGACCUUUCUAAUGCCAUAUUCUAAAUCAAGCAAAGUAGAAAAGCAGUGGUGUUAAAGUCAUCUUUUACACCAUUCUGGAUAAGAAAGUUAUGAAAUGUUGACCUAUACAGAUGUUACAUGUUUCAGUUAAACAGAUUUUUUUCAGCCUAAGUAGUUUCAUGGGUACGCCAACUAUGAGAAUAUUGUAAAAUACUUCCCCCUAACCGAAUUAUAGGAUUCUUGAAAUCCUAUGAAUAGCUGAUGCAGUGCCUCAUUGUUCUCCCAUCUUUCUCCAGUGUCUUAAUAUUUUAAAAUUUAAAUAUAGGCAGUUCUAUAUACCACAGCUUGAAUCCUUGAAGUUGUAGAUUGCAAGGGUUUGCUUUAAAAAUUCUCUCCUAGACUCCAAAAAUAAAUUCUCGACAUGUUUCCUAUUAGCGCCUUUUGAGCAACCAGUUAUAAUUGUUUGGCAGGAGACAGGAAGAUUUAAUAUUUUGAAUAUAGGGGGCAGAAGUGAUUUGUUUAUAAAAUACUGCAAUAAUGGAUUCAGUAAGGACUUUGUGAUGGAAAAGCAGACCAGGCUAUGGAGUACGCACUGUGCAUUCUGGUUCUCUACCAGAGAAAAACAGGGAUUCUGAAAUAAUUACAUCCUUGUUGGUACUCUAACCUCAGAAGAACCCAGAAGUUUUUUACAGCUUUGUUUCAAUGGAGAUUUCUGGAGGAAUAAAAUGUCUGUGUUGAGGAAAACUGUAUUUACAGAAAAAUUCCUUUAAUAAUACACACUUCUUGAGAGGGCUGUCCAUGGGUAGCCCAGAGUCUGAAGGGGAUGCUGAGGAAAUGUUAUGGAGUACAAAUAAGCUGACUCACAGGAAAUAAACACCAGUAUAUACAUUUGUAUUCAUUGCACUGUCACUUUCGAUUUUAUUCUGAGAAGUAACACAUAAAUGCAAUAUCUUUAUUUCCAUUGUAUACGUAACAAUAAAAAUAUUUUUAAACAUUUUG